GUGUGUGUGUGUGUGUGUGUGCAGCAGCCGGAGGGACAGCUGGGCCACGGGUCAGGUUGAUUUUGGCUUUGUGGUUCUGAUGUGUUGUAUGUUGUGAAGGUGGUGGCGUGUUUUCUGUGGACUGAGAAUGACUGGCAGAGGAAAGACGAAUCCUGUCCAUUUAAUGAGGCCCACCAGUCCAGCGGGAGCACGAGCACGCUCACGCUCACGUAUGCUAAAAGCUGAAGAAGGCAGACAGAGGUAACACUUUUCCACAGCAAUGAACACAUGCAAGAAAGUUGAAGGCCAUGUGGUUUUCACUUGGAAUUAGAGACUUAAAUUGCUGUCUAGUGAGUCUGCCAGAAGCUACAUGAGGAUGGUUAAAUGCAGCUUGUAGCCGAUCUGUGCGAAGCCUGACCCAGAGCAAGGCUAAGUUUGUUGUUGACUGAAGUCAGUCUGCUCCGAACAGGGGUGGACUGUUGCUUUGCCAAAGGCUGAGGGUUUUGUAGCCAAAGGCAAUGACCAUCCUUUGCCCUGGGCAAUGAUAUGAGCGAGGGCAGAAAACAUAGCUGCUUCUACAGAACUGCUUACGAAGCAU